GACGAACGCUGGCGGCGCGCUUAACACAUGCAAGUCGAGCGAUGAAAUUUCGACAGAUCCCCUCGGGGUGAAGAUGAAAUGGAUUAGCGGCGGACGGGUGAGUAACACGUGAGUAACCUGCCUUAGACAUUGGGAUAGCCUCGGGAAACCGGGAUUAAUACCAAAUGAAAUCACAUAUGCACAUGCAUAAAUGAUCAAAGCUCCGGCGGUCUAAGAUGGACUCGCGUCCCAUUAGCUAGUUGGUGAGGUAACGGCCCACCAAGGCGACGAUGGGUAGCCGGCCUGAGAGGGUGAACGGCCACAUUGGAACUGAGAAACGGUCCAAACUCCUACGGGAGGCAGCAGUGGGGAAUAUUGCACAAUGGAGGGAACUCUGAUGCAGCGACGCCGCGUGAACGAAGAAGGCUUUCGAGUCGUAAAGUUCUUUUAUAUGGGAAGAUAAUGACGGUACCAUAAGAAAAAGCCCCGGCUAACUACGUGCCAGCAGCCGCGGUAAUACGUAGGGGGCUAGCGUUGUCCGGAAUCACUGGGCGUAAAGGGUUCGCAGGCGGAAAUGCAAGUCAGGUGUAAAAGGCAGUAGCUUAACUACUGUAAGCAUUUGAAACUGCAUAUCUUGAGAAGAGUAGAGGUAAGUGGAAUUUUUAGUGUAGCGGUGAAAUGCGUAGAUAUUAAAAAGAAUACCGGUGGCGAAGGCGACUUACUGGGCUCAUUCUGACGCUGAGGAACGAAAGCGUGGGUAGCAAACAGG
rnacentral:rRNA from 1 species